rnacentral:lncRNA from 1 species
AGGUUGUGCUGAUCAACUUCAGGUCUUUGUUAUAGUUUUAUUUUAUUUUAUUAUUCUUCUUAAAUUUUUUGUACUUGAAUUUUACUUUUAGUUAAUACAAAAAUUUAUUUUAUUGUACUUUAAAUUUUUGUCUUUUAUUUUUAUUGCAAGUAGAUGCUAGAAUCUAGUUAGUAGAUCUUAGUAUCAAUUUAUUUUUAUGCUCUUUAAAUUUUUAUUAUUUAUUUUUAUUGUAAGUAGAAGUUAGAAUCUAAAUAGCAGAUC